UACGAAGGGUGCAAGCGUUACUCGGAAUUACUGGGCGUAAAGCGUGCGUAGGCGGUUUGUUAAGUCUGUCGUGAAAGCCCUGGGCUCAACCUGGGAAUUGCGAUGGAUACUGGCAAGCUAGAGUACGGUAGAGGAUGGUGGAAUUCCCGGUGUAGCGGUGAAAUGCGUAGAGAUCGGGAGGAACACCCGUGGCGAAGGCGGCCAUCUGGACCAGUACUGACGCUGAGGCACGAAAGCGUGGGGAGCAAACAGG
rnacentral:rRNA from 2 species